UACAGAGGUCUCGAGCGUUAGGCGGAAUCACUGGGCUUAAAGCGUGUGUAGGCGGGUCGUUAAGUACCUUGUGAAAUCCCAUGGCUCAACCAUGGAACUGCUUGGUAUACUGGCGAUCUUGUGCAACCUAGGGGCGAGCGGAACAGAUGGUGGAGCGGUGAAAUGCGUAGAUAUCUGGAGGAAUACCGGUGGCGAAGGCGGCAUCCUGGACCGACAUUGACGCUGAUGAGCGAAAGCUAGGGGAGCAAACGGG
rnacentral:rRNA from 1 species